rnacentral:tRNA from 1 species
UCCCUGGUGGUCCGGUGGUUAGGACUCGGUGCUUUCACUGCCAAGGGCCUGGGUUCAAUCCCUGGUCAGGGAA